rnacentral:lncRNA from 1 species
GCUUGUUGAAGAUAAAAAGUAAUGGGAAAAUCCUGCUUCUAAUUCAGAACACAACAGCUGUUUGGUGAACCAACUCGACAGCAAGAGUUGAGAAUCCAUUAUUGCAGCUCCUGGAUUCAGGUAAUCUUGUUGUCAGAGAUGGAAAGGAUAGUGAACCAGAGAAUUACUUGUGGCAAAGCUUUGAUUAUCCAUCAGAUACGAUCUUACCAGGGAUGAAAAUUGGUAUUAAUUUGAGAACUGGUCUUAAUCGAAGACUAGCAGCCUGGAAGAAUUGGGAUGAUCCAUCUCCAGGUGAUUUUACUUUUGGUGAAGAACUCCAAGGAAACCCAAAGAUGGUGCAAAGGAAAGGCUCAGA